UCCCAGCACGAAAGAGUCCUUUCCUGCAACAGCUGCUGAAAUUGCUUUUUAUUUUUAAAACCCUGGGCUACAGAAGAGCCACCUUUAUCGUUCGCCUGCGGACCCUGCAGCUUUGUGUCUCCGACCGACGCAACUGCCGAUCGUCGAAAGGGAGGUGACACGCGUGAGGAAAGAGGGAGAAGUGGCUGCACAAUGGACACGCAGCUGGCCCCGUUCCCAUCUACAAUAGCAUGUGAAUUCCAAGAGGCUGCCUCACCCCUUAUGGGGGUGUCUCUCCUGAGCAACAAGAAUUACCAGCCUGUUCCUCUCCCCUGCAAAGGGGUAAAGGGAGGGGAAUACAUUCUCACCAGAGCCCUGUGGCAAUGGGCAGGUUUUCUCCUAGUACUGUACUUUAAUAAAGUUCCUGCAGGGAAAAGAGAUUACAGGCUAUGCAAUCUUAUUUGCUAUUUCUAGGCUGUAUUUCAAUAAUCCCCCUUUUUAAUUUUGCAGCCUACACACUGACGCAGGAGUUCUUUCGCGCUCACAGGCCCCCUGCCUUUCGUCAGCGUUGGUCCAAGGAGAUGCCUGCGGGAAAUGAGUUCUGAUGAACGGUUGGAUCCAGAACCAAGCUUGCCCCAAGGAAAAUACAGAAAAGCUUGAAAACCAACUCAGCAAACCAGUGAUGCUUUUUCUCAGUCAGCUGGGAUGCAAGUUUUCUAGGCACUGACGCCGGUAGAGUUUCAGAUCUUAAUAGUCAUUUCCUGUUAACAUUUGCUUUGGAGCCAAGAAUGAAUCAUCUUCUGACUCUAGAUGCUCUUUGCUGCUUUUCAGGAACCAUGGUCACUCUGCAAGUUACUCAUUUGAUGGCUGCUCUAGGUGUAUAUGAAGUGGAGUGGAAAAGCCUGCCUGGAUAUCUAGUUGUCCGCUUUCGGGGGUUGUGUAUGUGAAAAACUCUCCUUGGGGACAUAUCUCUGAGGGGUUCCUGCAAAGUUUUGAAAAGCUGCCACUGGUAUGAUUUUGUGGCUAGCCCUUCUCCUCUCUCGCCACACCCUACUCCCCUGCUGUGAAAAGCUCAUUCAUGGCUCCUCCUCUUCCUUCUCCUUCCCAUUUCCACCUUAAAAUUCUUUUCCUGGAGUUCUCAUCCCAUUGUUUUGUUUCUGUGUCGAUUUUGCACAGCCCCAGAGAAAUAUGUUUGGAGUGGCACCUGGCUCCUACUGAUCAGCUCAGGAUGCUGCACUGCUUGGCCCUAGUGGUUUGGAUUAGGUAUGCAGUAGUUAUCAGGGCUGGUUGAAAAUUUUUGACAGAAAAUUUUCAAUCUGUCAGAAAAUUGAGUUUCUAACUAAACAUUUAUUUUUUUCAAAAAGUGUCUCUUUUCCAUGGAAAUUUUCAACUUUUCUUCAAAAAAUCCAAAUGCAUCAAAAGAAAACAAAACAAUUAAUUCAGAAAUGCUGCUGCAGUGCCUCAUGGGAGUGUUGGUUUGACUGCUUUAUGCCUCCAUUUUCCUUUACAGGCCAGGUUCCCUAGUGGAACUACAUCUCCCAUGAUGCACCACAGCCAGGGAUUCCCAUUGUGCUCAGCAAGAGAAGCAACUGUGGUGUUUUGUGGGAGAUGUAGGCCAGGCAGGAAGCCUGGCGCCUCAUGGGGGCAUGAGGCACCCAAAAUACAACUCUCAUGUGUCAGCAUUUCCAAAUAAAAAUUUUCAUUUCUGGGGAGAGACAGAGGUCUGGGAAAGGGUCGGGCUUGACUAGCUGGCCUGGCUUCUCCCACUGCCCUUCUUGUUGAUGCUUCUCUCUGAUUUUGUCCAGGGAAGCAGGGACCUUGUGGGCUAUUCUCUGGGGGAGGAGGUUGGCGGGCCCAGCCCAUGUGUUCUGCGUGGUCUGAGCCAGGGGAGAGGCAGAGGCUUCUAAAGGCCUAUCGACCCUAGAAUCCUGGGUCGAGGAGAGGGGGGAGCAGCAAGCUUCCCCUGACUUGCUGCAGUUGCCUCUCUGGGCCAAACUUCCAAACUACUGCCUGCAUUUGUGUGCGUGGAAACUGGUUGUGCUGAGAGUUUUCGCUCCCUGUGACUUGGGCGGCUACUUGGGGGGCAGCAGUGGCACGCUGGAGCCCCCCUCCCAGAGCACCUAAGUUUUAGUCAGGGAUAUUUAUGUAGUACAAGUCAUGGACAGGUCAUGGGCCGUGACUUUUUGUUUAUUGCCCAUGACUUGUCCAUGACUUUUACUAAAAAUACCCGUGACUAAAUUGUAGCCUUAAUUUAUCAUGUGAUGAAGCAUUGUUCUAGAAGGGACUGAAACUUUAUAUCAUAGCCCUCAUUUUCAAAAUUGCCUCAUUUCUGCCUCUAGUGUCGCACCUGCAGUUUUGUCCCCACAAAUGCAGGUAAACCUCUUGUGGGUGCAAUCAAGUCAUUAGCAGCGACACUAAUAUACAAUCCACAGGCUGAUUUGUAGGCACAAACCCCUCAGCUCUCAAAACCAGAGGCCACUUGUCAAAAGGGUAGGAGAGAUCUUUUCUAUUCAAUUAUUUGUAAUCCUUCUGCCCGUCAGAGUUGGCUGCAACAAGGGCCGGGUUCAGUAUCUAGGGGAUCCAUUCCAAUAACACAAUGCAAAACCAGCUCGAGCCCCCACCCAGUGACCUGGGACAAAUAUAUACCACCCUCGCUGGGUGCCUCCAAGAGGCAAUACUUCCCCUCUCGCAAGCACCGAGUCUGAGUGUAGCAAAAAGCCUUUUAAUAACAGAGAGAAACAAUGUGGCAUUAUGUUGGGGAAACACCACCAACAGGAUUCAUAACACAACCCAUGAGCAAACAACCCACCCCAAGCAAAUUGGGCCAUGUCCUUUUCCUUUGGUUCUUGAGUCCAGCAACCCAAAAGUCACCCAAAGUCCCAAAAGUCCAACAACCCAAAAGUCUCUGCCCCUGGUCAGUGCAGCCCCAGAGUUCGAAAAUUUAUCUGCAGAGUUUUACCUCCCAACCUGGGUGUAGGUGAGAGGGGUAAGGGGCACCUUACGUGGUCCGAAGUCGAUUGCCCCACCUCUCCAUGGGGCUCCACUCCGCUCUGCCAGCCGUUCCACGAAUCGCUCUGCUCUGCCAGCCCACCAUGAGCUGCUCCAGCCAUCCCGCAAACUGCUCUGCAACGUAUCUUCAGGCUCCCCCACUACUUAACACAGCACUCAGCGAUUUCAGCUCUUAGUAAGUUUAGCUCUUUCGUGAUUUCAGCUUGUAGUAGGGGAGCCUCAGUGCUGGUGCACCAUUGGCCCAAAGUGAACUCAGCUCAGCAGCCUGUAACUAGACUCCUAAAGGAAUCAAAAUUAGCCCUGAUGUUCCACAGUGGAGUGAGAAGAAAGUGCAAUUGGCAUGUAGGGGCCCAUACCACCAGGUAUUAAUACCUCUUCCCAACCUCUCUCAAUUCAUUGAGAAUUGGAACCCAUGUCUCUCGCCUAGCGAGUGCUACUUAGUUGAUGGCAAGUCCCUCCAUCAUAACUAAAGGCCAAGUACAGUUCCACUGUCUUUGAUUCACAUAAUCAGGAUAACAACAAUUUAUUCUUCCUGCCCCAGUAACAGAGAAACUGGGGAUCCCACAGCAGCCAAAAUGACCAUUUUGGCAGCUAUGGGCUCAUGCUAUGGGGUGGGUGUAAAUGCAAAUGAGAUCAGCCCCUGAAGUUCUUUUCCACAACUUGCCACAACUCAUCACCAGAUGUCAGGGUGGAACUCAUCCUGACUCUGCUUACAUCUAUAGCUGGCUGUAUACACUAUAUCCAAGUGAUUCAUAGUCUUUCUGGCUCUUUCAGAUUAGUUAAAUGUCUGUGACAAUAUGUGCGUAGGGGGAGGUAUAUGUGUGUGCGUGGGGAACACACGUGUUUACAACAGCUAGUCUCUCAGUGGUUAUUUUUGGAUGAAUGGUUUAUUCUUUCCUUUCUAAUUGCUUUGCUGUCCAAUUCAUUCAUAGAAAACUUGGGAGCUGAAUUAGUUUGCUUCCCCACUGGGAGUGACAACGGCAGUGCCUGGAGAGGCCAGAAACACAUUUCCUGGGCAGGUCUGAUAUUUGCAGGGAGGAGAUUUGUUGUUGCAUUUUUUUUAAAGGACUCGUUAAAAAAUAAAUCUUUCUGCUUCAAAAUUGAUCUGCUUGGUUGGUUGGUUUGGCUGAUUGAUUUCCUGGAAAUCUUACACAACUGCAUUCGAGGCCUUUGGGUUUUUGUUUUUUCUCCCAACACAGCGUUCGUCUGGAAGAUAAGCAACAUUUGUGAACUGAAGUCAACGAUCCAGACAAAGAAAGAUCCAGGCAUCUCCUUAAUAGAUCGUUGGCUCCUUUGUGCACAUUUCAGACUAUUAGCAUUCACCAUCUGGUGGACUGCAUUGUCCAUGUUUGUUGUAAUACCCCAUUGCUCUCGUUUCUUCCUGACUUCCUUUUGCAGCACAACAUGAUCAUUGCAAUACUGCAAGGCCUGCUGAGAAACCAUGUGCACAACAACCCACGCCCAGAUUCACCACUGGAAUUCUGCAGGAGCUAGGUACCUCAGUACAUACUCUUCUCCCGUGGCCAGCAAUGGGGUGUCUCUUUCUGAACUCUGUUCUCUGCAUAGCUGGCUAAAAACAAACAAUCCUCCCAGGGGUGAAAGUAACUUAAAGGACUUACCGGUACUCCGGAGUCCUGAGCAGGGGUGUGUGGCCUCAACCGGAAGAGGCAUGACCUCAACUGGAAG